GCUGCCGCCCCUGGCCUGCCAGGACCCAGAGGGAGCGGAGCACGCGCCUUUGGGAAUCUUCGGUGCGCCAAGUCUGUUCGCCGCCGGGGUCUAUCACCCCCGCCCCUCGCCUCUGCCCGUGAGCGUCUGGCUUGGCUUUUUCAGAGGAAACAGAGACUCUCAGACAUGAAUACUGUGACACUGACCACCAGGCCAACUUAACAUCAGCAGAUAUCCUGUCUCAGAUGAAGAGAAUGGCCUGUCCAGAAGACAGCCAAAUACAUCCUUCAAACAGACUUCACUGCAGGAGACAGAGUGGAUUCAUCCUGUAUUCUCCAUGUAGACUUCCAUCUUCAUGAGUACUCCAAGAAGAUGGUUCAGUUGACUAUUGCAAAGAUUGGUUUAGAGUAUAUAUUUCACCAAGUUCUGGCCAGCAGGAUCUGAAAAGAUGUCAGUUGGCACUUCUGCAAAAUGUGUGUGCAAGAGAUGUGUGCAAGGAAAACCUUAAACAUCUUUCCUGCUUUGGCUUUGCAUGUGAAAGAAAAUAUGAUGCUUGGAUGUCUGAUUCCAAAAUGGCGGCAUGGAAGCAAGCUGGCUUCAUGCCCCCCAACCACAGACAACCAGAAACAAAUGUACAGCACUGAGAUUAUCACCAGCAAUAUCCCAGAAAUCAAAUAUGAAGAUGAGACAGUUCCUGGGGCCACAAAGAAGUGAAAAAACUCCAAGCAGACGGGAAGAUAAUCAAACUUCCACAUCCAUGUCACCUCUCCCCCGAUUCUGCCUGACACCAAGCUUGUGGAAAAUUUCCCCCAAACUCACAAUUUGUACACUGGAAAAAGUGAGAUCAAGGUGGACAAUCAGCUUCCCCAUCAUCCUGGGUUCCCUAGCAGGAAACCUGUCUUUGUCUUAACCCACAGUAAGCAUCGUGACAUCCUGAAGGGAGAUAUCCCUGGGGACAGGCAGAGACAAGGAAGAGGCAGAUUUAGCAUCCCCAGCCCUGGGAAGUCUGCUCUGUCACUUGGCCAAAGGAGAUGCCAAAUCAGAGUGGCUGUUCUAUGGCUGUAGGAGGUCUGUCCCACAAGGUCCCCUGGGCACAACCCCCUAGUCAGUUUUCCCACACUGCUGGGGCUAACCUCUUUGGGACCUCCCCCAUUCCGGAAAGGCAGUACUCUUAUUGUUGACUAGAAAGGAGAUGAACCUGGGCUUAAGGUGCUGCCUAGAGCCAAAAAGGAGGCAGUGACCUAGUGAUAUGGUGCUUGGAGCAGUAACAUACCUUAGCACAAAAAGAUCACAACGAUAGUGGAAAAAACUGAUCCCAAGUUCUGACAUAGUUGAGCUGAAGAACCAACCCCUAAUCAUCUACCUCAAGACAUUAUGUAAGAGAAAAAUGCAUCCUAUUAUUUAAAUCUUUUGUAGGCACAUAUUCUAUAACUUGUAAACAAGACAUCCUAUACCUCAUCAUUUCACAAACUUACCCCAAAAUCCCCCUGGAGUGGUGGCAAGAAAAUCCCAUUGAAGGCACACUGGGAGUAAGGGCAGUAACUGGUGUUGAAGAGCUCCAGGAUGCUUUGAUGGCAUUGUUGAUAGUUUCCAAUACCCUGGAUUUCAAACUGCUGGAAUGGAAGAGUCAUCUCAAAUCUCUUGGUGCAGGGGGUCUUGUAAAGGUCACUUACGUUCACUACCUUCUUAUAUCCAGGAUGAAAGCAUGGGUCCCUGAGAAUUUCAUUACUUGCAACCUGAAUGGAAAAAUCACUUGAAAGCAUCAUGUGUGAACGCUUUGGAUACAAAAGGUACAGUCUGACUUAAUCAAUAUGUAGGCACUGUACAACAUCCCACCACUUGGUAUUGGAAUCAAUAUGUCCUGCCCUGCCUUUUUACCC
ensembl:lncRNA ENTPD1-AS1 ENTPD1 antisense RNA 1